rnacentral:piRNA from 1 species
UCCUUGCCAUAAAAUAUCACAUUAAA